UUUUUAUAAAGUUGUUUGACCAAGUGUUAUUAGCUCAAUUAAUAUUCGAUGCAAAGUUUAGAUAUCGUUGGUUCGAGUGACGUUUGGAACGAAACUAAUAUUAUAUGUUAUGAUUUCAGGUCUGGUAGGAUUACGGGCUUUGUCCCAGAACCUUCAAAUAUUCAAAAAAAAAUAAAAAAUUGUUUGGUCGGAAAAAGAUAUAUGUUUUU
rnacentral:sRNA from 1 species